ensembl:lncRNA
GUGUGUUCCAGCUUUGUAGGAGAAAAACCACUCGGGCUUCACGUUUGGAUGACACUUGGCUCCCACCUCCUAUAAGCCUGAACGUCUGUGGAGCAGGGAGGUGAGCCCGAGUCGAAGGAUCCAGCUGACGUGGUUCGUGAGUGUGUCGGGAGGAAAGGCGCAGGAAGCCGGGGGCUGCGGCCAGGACUGUGACAUCAUGGCUUUGGCAUCCUGUCCGGUCCUGGAAAAAUGCCGCCCACACCACCCCGAGGAACUGAGACUCAGGAGACAGAAGCUAUGUGGCUGCUCGGCCAAGUCCUGGGAGCAAGGAGCCGGGCUUGGAGGUCUUAUCCAUCAGAGCGAGGGAAGGGUGAAACGCUGGUAUGUGGAUGGCCGCCAAGAACUCAAGGAGAGAUGAGAGGAGAAACAAAACCCUUCAGUUGAAACGCCAGUGGAAAAACACUUCUCACAGACAAACACCGAGAAGCACAGUGUGUCCUUAUUGUGCCUGGGCUUUCUUUCUUUUUUUUUAAACGGUUUUGGAAAAAUGAUCUUUUGAUGUUUAUAAAGUGGCUCCUGAAUGAGGGUCACUCUGGGGCAGUUGGGAACUCACGGCCUGAGCGCUCGCAUUUCCCAGACAUGGUGAGGAGGGAAGGUUAAGCCCCCUACCUGAGCCCUCUGCUCACAUCCAUCAACAGCCAGCCUGACGGCGACCAAUGGCCAGGAAAUAAUGACAAUAGCGCCAGCUGCCCCAGAGUGUGAGCUCCACCCAACGCGGCCGGCUCCCAGGGCUCAGGAAGCGAGGUCCAGACAGGCAAAUGCACCAGGUGUAAGAAACAGGUGCUCAGUGAACAGUGGGGACUGGAGGAAUUCGCUGACACGUCGCUCUGGAUAAAGCCCCCCUCUGUGUCCUUUUAUUGAGCCCUCGCCACUAUGAAGAGCACCGCCGUGUCCAUUUGACAGGCCUGGGGAGCGGUCGCCUUCCACCCCCAUCAGCAACACCUUGGGAACAGAGGUCACAGACUGAAGGCAGUGAUCUGAGUGAACUCGUCCAUACUGACAGCAGCAUCUUGGUCCUGCGCGGUUUUGGAAAAUAGGUCACUGCUGAGAUAACAGUAAUGGGUUGUUUUCUUACGUCUCCAUGAUCUUUGUCAUGAAACAGAGCUACCCUGUGACUUACAGGCUUAAAAUAGCAACUGUUUAUUUGUUUCAGUAACAAUGACUUAUUGCUCAAAUAAAUAUUUGUUCAAAUGCUA